rnacentral:rRNA from 1 species
AUUGAACGCUGGCGGCAGGCUUAACACAUGCAAGUCGAACGAGUGGCGGACGGGUGAGUAAUGUUUGGGAAACUGCCUGAUGGAGGGGGAUAACUACUGGAAACGGUAGCUAAUACCGCAUACCAUCAGAUGUGCCCAUGUGGGAUUAGGUUGUUGGUGGGGUAACGGCUCACCAAGGCGACGAUCGCUAGCUGGUCUGAGAGGAUGACCAGCCACACUGGAACUGAGACACGGUCCAGACUCCUACGGGAGGCAGCAGUGGGGAAUAUUGCGCAAUGGGGGCAAGCCUGAUGCAGCCAUGCCGCGUGUAUGAAGAAGGCCUUCGGGUUGUAAAGUACUUUCAGCGGGGAGGCGUUACCCGCAGAAGAAGCACCGGCUAACUCCGUGCCAGCAGCCGCGGUAAUAC